rnacentral:rRNA from 1 species
UGGGGAAUUUUGGACAAUGGGUGCAAGCCUGAUCCAGCCAUGCCGCGUGCAGGAUGAAGGCCCUCGGGUUGUAAACUGCUUUUGUACGGAACGAAAAGCCUCUUUCUAAUAAAGAGGGGUGAUGACGGUACCGUAAGAAUAAGCACCGGCUAACUACGUGCCAGCAGCCGCGGUAAUACGUAGGGUGCGAGCGUUAAUCGGAAUUACUGGGCGUAAAGCGUGCGCAGGCGGUCUUGCAAGACAGUGGUGAAAUCCCCGGGCUCAACCUGGGAACUGCCAUUGUGACUGCAAGGCUGGAGUACGGCAGAGGGGGAUGGAAUUCCGCGUGUAGCAGUGAAAUGCGUAGAUAUGCGGAGGAACACCGAUGGCGAAGGCAGUCCCCUGGGCCUGUACUGACGCUCAUGCGCGAAAGCGUGGGGAGCAAACA